rnacentral:rRNA from 1 species
GACGAACGCUGGCGGCGUGCUUAACACAUGCAAGUCGAACGGAAAGGCCCUGCUUUUGUGGGGUGCUCGAGUGGCGAACAGGUGAGUAACACGUGAGUAACCUGCCCUUGACUUUGGGAUAACUUCAGGAAACUGGGGCUAAUACCGGAUAGGAGCUCCUGCUGCAUGGUGGGGGUUGGAAAGUUUCGGCGGUUGGGGAUGGACUCGCGGCUUAUCAGCUUGUUGGUGGGGUAGUGGCUUACCAAGGCUUUGACGGGUAGCCGGCCUGAGAGGGUGACCGGCCACAUUGGGACUGAGAUACGGCCCAGACUCCUACGGGAGGCAGCAGUGGGGAAUAUUGCACAAUGGGCGGAAGCCUGAUGCAGCAACGCCGCGUGCGGGAUGACGGCCUUCGGGUUGUAAACCGCUUUCGCCUGUGACGAAGCGUGAGUGACGGUAAUGGGUAAAGAAGCACCGGCUAACUACGUGCCAGCAGCCGCGGUGAUACGUAGGGUGCGAGCGUUGUCCGGAUUUAUUGGGCGUAGAGGGCUCGUAGGUGGUUGAUCGCGUCGGAAGUGUAAUCUUGGGGCUUAACCCUGAGCGUGCUUUCGAUACGGGUUGACUUGAGGAAGGUAGGGGAGAAUGGAAUUCCUGGUGGAGCGGUGGAAUGCGCAAAUAUCAGGAGGAACACCAGUGGCGAAGGCGGUUCUCUGGGCCUUUCCUGACGCUGAGGAGCGAAAGCGUGGGGAGCGAACAGGCUUAGAUACCCUGGUAGUCCACGCUGUAAACGGUGGGUACUAGGUGUGGGGUCCAUUCCACGGGUUCCGUGCCGUAGCUAACGCUUUAAGUACCCCGCCUGGGGAGUACGGCCGCAAGGCUAAAACUCAAAGGAAUUGACGGGGCCCCGCACAAGCGGCGGAGCAUGCGGAUUAAUUCGAUGCAACGCGUAGAACCUUACCUGGGUUUGACAUGGAUCGGGAGUGCUCAGAGAUGGGUGUGCCUCUUUUGGGGUCGGUUCACAGGUGGUGCAUGCCUGUCGUCAGCUCGUGUCGUGAGAUGUUGGGUUAAGUCCCGCAACGAGCGCAACCCUUGUUCACUGUUGCCAGCACGUUAUGGUGGGGACUCAGUGGAGACCGCCGGGGUCAACUCGGAGGAAGGUGGGGAUGACGUCAAGUCCUCAUGCUCCUUAUGUCCAGGGCUUCACGCAUGCUACAAUGGCUGGUACAGAGAGUGGCGAGCCUGUGAGGGUGAGCGAAUCUCGGAAAGCCGGUCUCAGUUCGGAUUGGGGUCUGCAACUCGACCUCAUGAAGUCGGAGUCGCUAGUAAUCGCAGAUCAGCAACGCUGCGGUGAAUACGUUCCCGGGGCU